GGGGAAAUUCCCGAGAGGCCAAAGGGGGCAGACUGUAAAUCUGUUGUCGCAGACUUCGGUGGUUCGAAUCCACCUUUCCCCACCA
rnacentral:tRNA from 1 species